GUGAACGCUGGCGGUAGGCCUAACCCAUGCAAGUCGAACGGCAGCACAGUAAGAGCUUGCUCUUACGGGUGGCGAGUGGCGGACGGGUGAGGAAUACAUCGGAAUCUACUUUUUCGUGGGGGAUAACGUAGGGAAACUUACGCUAAUACCGCAUACGACCUACGGGUGAAAGCAGGGGAUCUUCGGACCUUGCGCGAUUGAAUGAGCCGAUGUCGGAUUAGCUAGUUGGCGGGGUAAAGGCCCACCAAGGCGACGAUCCGUAGCUGGUCUGAGAGGAUGAUCAGCCACACUGGAACUGAGACACGGUCCAGACUCCUACGGGGGGCAGCAGUGGGGAAUAUUGGACAAUGGGCGCAAGCCUGAUCCAGCCAUACCGCGUGGGUGAAGAAGGCCUUCGGGUUGUAAAGCCCUUUUGUUGGGAAAGAAAAGCAGCAGGUUAAUACCCCGCUGUUCUGACGGUACCCAAAGAAUAAGCACCGGCUAACUUCGUG
rnacentral:rRNA from 1 species